GGGGGCGACUUGGAUUCGACGUGGGUCGCGAAACCGGAGGUGCAUGCCGAGGAUGUAGCUGCCCUCGUAAAUCUCGCUGCAAAUUUAUAGUUGCCAACGACGACAACUACGCACUCGCCGCUUAAAACCCGGUAGGGGUGCCGUCUGACUGGGGCCGUGCUUGUGCGCUCAGACCCAGGCGUCGACUCUCACAAGAUCGCGACGACGCUCUCCCGGGGCCGACUCGUUAAAACCUACUGGGAUCGCCGACUGUUUUCCCUGCCCGUCGGGUAGCAGGCGGUUAAACUCAAAGACUGGGAUAAGCAUGUAGAGCCAAAGGCAGAGGACUUGCGGACGCGGGUUCGAUUCCCGCCGCCUCCACCA
rnacentral:tmRNA from 1 species